CACACUGGACUGAGACACGGUCCAGACUCCUACGGGAGGCAGCAGUGGGGAAUAUUGCACAAUGGGCGAAAGCCUGAUGCAGCCAUGCCGCGUGUAUGAAGAAGGCCUUCGGGUUGUAAAGUACUUUCAGUUGUGAGGAAGGGUGUGUAGUUAAUAGCUGCGCAUCUUGACGUUAGCAACAGAAGAAGCACCGGCUAACUCCGUGCCAGCAGCCGCGGUAAUACGGAGGGUGCGAGCGUUAAUCGGAAUUACUGGGCGUAAAGCGCAUGCAGGUGGUUCAUUAAGUCAGAUGUGAAAGCCCGGGGCUCAACCUCGGAACUGCAUUUGAAACUGGUGAACUAGAGUGCUGUAGAGGGGGGUAGAAUUUCAGGUGUAGCGGUGAAAUGCGUAGAGAUCUGAAGGAAUACCAGUGGCGAAGGCGGCCCCCUGGACAGACACUGACACUCAGAUGCGAAAGCGUGGGGAGCAAACAGGAUUAGAUACCCUGGUAGUCCACGCCGUAAACGAUGUCUACUUGGAGGUUGUGGCCUUGAGCCGUGGCUUUCGGAGCUAACGCGUUAAGUAGACCGCCUGGGGAGUACGGUCGCAAGAUUAAAACUCAAAUGAAUUGACGGGGGCCCGCACAAGCGGUGGAGCAUGUGGUUUAAUUCGAUGCAACGCGAAGAACCUUACCUACUCUUGACAUCCAGAGAAGCCAGCGGAGACGCAGGUGUGCCUUCGGGAGCUCUGAGACAGGUGCUGCAUGGCUGUCGUCAGCUC
rnacentral:rRNA from 1 species